CAUAGAAUCAGCACUGGUUUUCAUAUGAAAGAAUUUUUUUUUUCACCUUGACAAGUAAAAUGAUGGAGACUAAUUCUGGCAUCUAAAAUUCACUGUCCAGUGGGAAUUUUCACACUGAAUGGAAGUGAUUUUGGAAUAGCAUGAAACACUCACCACCAUAGCAAAUAAGUGCUGAUUUUGUCACUUUUGCCUGUUCCUUUUUCUGGGAUGAAACAAAACAAUGCUCUCCAAAGGUCAACAAGAACAAAGCUCAGGUUUCAUAUGAAAAUGUUUAUUCCUUUCCCUUGAGAUAAGACAUGAAGGAAAGGCCCAUCUUCAAGGGCCAGUGGGACUUCUUAGGUGGG